rnacentral:rRNA from 1 species
GUCCACGCCGUAAACGAUGCUCACUCGUUUUUGGGGCGUAAGCUUCAGAGACCAAGCGAAAGUGAUAAGUGAGCCACCUGGGGAGUACGUUCGCAAGAAUGAAACUCAAAGGAAUUGACGGGGGCCCGCACAAGCGGUGGAUUAUGUGGUUUAAUUCGAUGAUACGCGAGGAACCUUACCAAGACUUAAAUGGGAAUUGACAGAUUUAGAGAUAGAUCAUUCUUCGGACAAUUUUCAAGGUGCUGCAUGGUU